GACAGAGGGUGCAAGCGUUAAUCGGAAUUACUGGGCGUAAAGCGUGCGCAGGCGGUUUUGUAAGUCUGUCGUGAAAUCCCCGGGCUCAACCUGGGAAUUGCGAUGGAGACUGCAAGGCUAGAAUCUGGCAGAGGGGGGUAGAAUUCCACGUGUAGCAGUGAAAUGCGUAGAGAUGUGGAGGAACACCGAUGGCGAAGGCAGCCCCCUGGGUCAAGAUUGACGCUCAUGCACGAAAGCGUGGGGAGCAAACAGG
rnacentral:rRNA from 1 species